ACGACUCUCGGCAACGGAUAUCUUGGCUCACGCAUCGAUGAAGAACGUAGCAAAAUGCGAUACUUGGUGUGAAUUGCAGAAUCCCGUGAACCAUCGAGUUUUUGAACGCAAGUUGCGCCCAAAGCCAUUCGGUCGAGGGCACGUCUGCCUGGGCGUCACG
rnacentral:rRNA from 1 species